rnacentral:rRNA from 1 species
GAUGAACGCUGGCGGCGUGCCUAAUACAUGCAAGUCGAGCGAACAGAUGAGGAGCUUGCUCCUCUGACGUUAGCGGCGGACGGGUGGGUAACACGUGGAUAACCUACCUAUAAGACUGGGAUAACUUCGGGAAACCGGAGCUAAUACCGGAUAAUAUAUUGAACCGCAUGGUUCAAUAGUGAAAGACGGUUUUGCUGUCACUUAUAGAUGGAUCCGCGCCGCAUUAGCUAGUUGGUAAGGUAGCGGCUUACCAAGGCAACGAUGCGUAGCCGACCUGAGAGGGUGAUCGGCUACACUGGAUGUGAGAAACGGCCCACACUCCUACGGGAGGACGCAGUAGGGAAUCUUACGCGAUGGGGGAAAGCCUGACGGAGCAACGCCGCGUGAGUCAUGAAGGUGUUCGGCUCGGAGAGCUCUGUAAUUAGGAAAGAAGAAAUGUGUAAGUACCCAUGCAGGUAUUGACGGUACCGAGUCAGUAAGCUCCGGCUAACUACGCG